rnacentral:rRNA from 1 species
CAGUAGCCGCGGUAAAACGUAGGUGGCGAGCGUUGUCCGGAUUUAUUGGGCGUAAAGGGAGUGUAGGCGGUCUUUUAAGUCUGAUGUGAAAGCCCACGGCUCAACCGUGGAGGGUCACUGGAAACUGGGAGACUUGAGUGCAGAAGAGGAGAGCGGAAUUCCAUAUGUAGCGGUGAAAUGCGUAGAUGUAUGGAGGAACACCAGUGGCGAAGGCGGCUCUCUGGUCUGUAACUGACGCUGAGGCUCGAAAGCGUGGGGAGCAAACAGGAUUAGAUACCCGGGUAGUCCCUGUCUCUUAUAC